rnacentral:rRNA from 1 species
CCUACGGGUGGCAGCAGUGAGGAAUAUUGGUCAAUGGACGAGAGUCUGAACCAGCCAAGUAGCGUGAAGGAGGACUGCCCUGAGGGUUGUAAACUUCUUUUAUAAAGGAAUAAAACGUGGGACGCGUGUCUUUUUGCGUGUACUUUAUGAAUAAGCAUCGGCUAACUCCGUGCCCGCAGCCGCGGUAAUACGGAGGAUCCGAGCGUUAUCCGGAUUUAUUGGGUUUAAAGGGAGCGUAGAUGGGUUGUUAAGUCAGUUGUGAAAGUUUGCGGCUCAACCGUAAAAUGGCAAUUGAUACUGGCAGUCUCGAGUACAGUUGAGGUAGGCGGAAUUCGUGGUGUAGCGGUGAAAUGCUUAGAUAUCACGAAGAACCCCGAUUGCGAAGGCAGCUUACUAAAUUGUGACUGACAUUGAUGCUCGAAAGUGUGGGUAUCAAACAGGAUUAGAUACCCGAGUAGUC